CCUACGGGAGGCAGCAGUGAGGAAUAUUGGUCAAUGUGCGCGAGCCUGAACCAGCCAAGUCGCGUGAAGGAUGACUGCCCUACGGGUUGUAAGCUUCUUUUAUAAAGGGAUAGGGUGAGGCGCGUGUGCCUUUUUGUAUGUACUUUAUGCAUAAGAGUAGGCUAACUCCGUUCCAUCAGCCGCGGUAAUACGGAGGAUCCGAGGGUUAUCCGGAUUUAUUGGGUUUAACGUGAGCGUAGAUGGGUUGUUAAGUCAGAUGUGAAAGGUUCGGGCUCAACCCGACAACUGCAAUUGAUACUGGCAGUCUUGAGUAUAGUUGCGGUAGGCGGAAUGCGUGGUGUAGCGGUGAAAUGCGUAGAGAUCAUGAAGAACACCGAUUGCGAAGGCAGCUUACUAAACUGUCACUGACGUUGAGGCGCGAAAGCGUGGGGAGCAAACAGGAUUAGAUACCCGAGUAGUC
rnacentral:rRNA from 1 species